UAGAUGGGUAUGGUUUUAGAAAUUUGAUUAAUAGGUUAUAAUUUUAAAAUAAAUUUUCCAAAACCUGCUAUUUUUGGAAAAUUAUAAUUUUGUAGAGAAAUAUUGUAGAUUUGAGAUUUUGAUUUAGAAAUUAGGAUAACAAGAGUUUUUGUUGAUAGAUGAGUAUGCUUUUAGAAUUUUUGAUCUAUAAGUUAUAAUUUUUAAAUAAAUUUUCCAAAACUUGUUAUUUUUUAACAAUUAUCAUUUUGUUGAGACAUCUUGUAUAUUUGGGAUUGUGAUUUAUAAAUUAGAAUAACAAUAGUUUAUGUAGAUAGAUGAGUACGCUUUUAUAAUUUUUAAUAAAUAGUCUAUAAUUUUUAAAUAAAUUUUCCAACACCUCCUAUUUUUGGAAAGUUAUCAUUUUGUCGAAAAAUAUUGUAGAUUUGGGAUUGUGACUUAGAAACUAGGAUAACAAGAGUUUUUUUUUUAUAGAUGGGUAUGCUUUUAGAAUUUUUGAUCAAUGGGCUAUAUUUUUAAAAUAAAAUUUUAAAAACUGCUAUAUUUGGAAAGUUAUCAUUUUGUAGAAAAAUAUUGUAGAUUUGGGAUUGUGAUUUAGAAAUUAGGAUAACAAGAGUUUUUGUUGAUAGAUGGGUAUGUUUUUAGAAUUUUUGAUCAAUAGGUUAUAAUUAUUAAAUACAUUUUCAAAACCUGCUAUUUUUAGAAAGUUAUCAUUUUGAAGGGAAAUAUUGUAGAUUUGUUAUUGUGAUUUAGAAAUUAGGAUUACAAGAGUUUUUGUUGAUAGAUGGGUAUAAUUUUAGAAAUUUUUGAUCAAUAAGUUAUAAUUUUUAGAUAAAUUUUCCAAAACCUGUAAUUUUUAGAAAGUUAUCAUUUUGUAGUGAAAUAUUGUUGAUUUGGGAUUAUGAUUUAGAAAUUAGGAUAACAAGAGUUUUUGUUGAUAGAUGGGCAUGCAUUUAGAAUUUUUGAUCCAUUGGUAAUAUUUUUAAAAUAAAUUUUUAAAAACUGCUAUAUUUGGAAAGUUGUCGUCGUGUAAGUAAAUAUUUUAAAUUUGAGAUUGUGAUUUAGAAAUUAGGAUAAUAAUAGUUUUUGUUGAUAUAUAUGCUUUUAGAGUUAUUGAUCAAUAUGUUAUAUCUUGUUAUAUCUUGGAGAUAUAUUAUCUAAAACCAUCUAUUUUAGGAAAGUUAUCAGUUUUUUAGAGAAAUAUUGUAAAUUUGAGAUUGUGAUUUAAAAACUAGGAUAACAAGAGUUAUUGUUGAUAGAUGGGUAUGCUUUCAGAAUUUUUGAUCAACAUGUUAUAAUUAUUUUAAAAAAUUCCAAAACCAUCUAUUUUUGUAAAGUUGUCAUUUUGUAGAUAAAUAUUGCAGAUUUAGAAUUGUGAUUUAGAAAUUAGGAUAACAAGAGUUUUUGUUGAUAGAUGUGCAUGCUUUAGAAAUUUUGAUCAAUAUGAUAUAUCUUGUAGAUAUAUUAUCUAAAACCUGUUAUUUUAGGAAAAUUAUCAUUUUUGUAGAGAAAUAUUUUAGAUCUGGGAUUGUGAUUUAAAAAUUAGUAUAACAAGAGUUUUUGUUGAUAGAUGGGUAUGCUUUUAAAAUUUUUGAUCAAUAGGUUAAAUCUUUAAGAUAAAUUUUCUAAAAUCUGUUAUUUUAGAAAAGUUAUAAUUUUUUUAAAGAAAUAUUGUAGAUCUGAGAUUGUGAUUUAGAAAUAAGGAUAACAAGAAUUUUUAUUGACAUAUGGGCAUGCUUUUAAUUUUUUUGAUCAAUAUGUUAUAAUUUUUAAAUAAAUUUUCCAAAAUCUGCUAUUUUUGGAAAGUUGUCAUGCUAUUGAUAAAUAUUGUAGAUUUGAAAUUGUGAUUUAGAAAUUAUGAUAACAAAAGUUUUUGUCGAUAGAUGGGUAUGCUUUUAGAGUUUUUGAUCAAUAGGUUAUAAUUUUUAAAUGAAUUUUCCAAAACCUGCUAUUUUUAGAAAGUAGUCAUGUUGUUGAUAAAUAUUGUUGAUUUGUAAUUGUGAUUUAGAAAUUAAGAUAACAAGAGUUUUUGUUGAUAGGUGGGCAUGCUUUUAGAAUUUUUAAUCAAUAGAUUAUAUUUUAAAAUAAAAUUUUAAGAACUGUUAUAUUUGGAAAGUUAUCAUUUUGUUAAUAAAUAUUGUAGAUUUGGGAUUGUGAUUUAGAAAUUAGGAUAACAAAUGUUCUGGUUUAUUGAUUGGUAUACUUUUAGAAAUUUUGAUCAAUAGGUUUUAUCUUGUAGAUAUAUUAUCUAAAACCUGCUAUUUUAGGAAAGUUAUCAUUUUUGUACAGAAGUAUUUUAGAUCUAGGAUUGUGAUUUAAAAAUUAGGAUACCGAGAGUUUUUGUUGAUAGAGGGGUAUGAUUUUAGAAUUUUUGAUCAAUAAGUUAUAAUGUUUAAAUAAGUUUUCCAAAACCUACUAUUUUGGGAAAGUUAUCAUUUUUCUAGAGAAAUAUUGUAGAUUUAGAAUUGUGAUUUAGAAAUUAGGAUAACAAGAGUUUUUGUUGAUAGAUGGGUAUGAUUUUUUAAUUUUUUAUCAAUAGGUUUUAAUUUUUAAAUAAAUUCUUCAAAACCUGCUAUUUUUGGAAAAUUAUCACAUUUGUAGAGAAAUACUAUAUAAUUGAGAUUGUGAUUUAGAAAUAUGAUAACAAGAGCUUUUGUUGAUAUAUGGGUAUGCUUUUAGAAUUUUUGAUCAUUAGAUUAUAUUUUAUAAAUAAAAUUUCUAAGAACUGCUAUUUUUGGAAAGUUAUCAUUUUUGUAAAGAAAUAUUGUAGAUUUGGGAUUGUGAUUUAGAGAUUAGGGUAACAUGAGUUUUUGGUUAUAGAUGGGUGUAUGGUUUUAGAAUAUUUGAUCAAUUUUUAGAUAAAUUUUCCAAAACCUGCCUUUUUUAGAAAGUUAUCAAUUUGAUAGAAAUAUUAUAGAUCUGUGAUUUUGAUUUAGAAAUUAGAAUAACAAGAAUUUGUUUUGAUAGAAGGGUAUGUUUUUAGAAUUUUUAUCAAUGGGUUAUAAUUUUUAAAUAAAUUUUCCAAAACCUUCUAUUUUGGAAAGUGAUCAUUUUCUAGAGAAAUAUUGUGGAUUUUGGAUUGUGAUUUAAAAAUUAGGAUAACAAGAGUUUAUUUAGAUAGAUUAGUACGCUUUUAAAUUUUUUGAUAAAUAGGCCAUAAUUUUUAAAUAAAUUUUCCCACCCUGCUUUUUUUGGAAAGUUAUCAUUUUGUAGAGAAAUAUUGUAGAUUUGAGAUUGUAAUUUAGAAACUAGGAUAACAAUAGUUUAUGAUAAUCGAUGGGUAUGCUUUUAGAUUUUUUGUUCAAUAGGCUAUAUUUUAAAAAUGAAAUUUUAAAAACUUUUAUAUUUGGAAAGUUAUCAUUUUGUUGAUUAGAGAUUGUGAUUUAGAAAUUAGGAUAAUAAGAGUUUUUGUUGAUAGAUGGAUAUGCUUUUAGAAUUUUCGAUCAAUUGGUUAUACUUUUAAAUAAAUUUUCCAAAACCUGCUAUUUUUGGAAAGUUUUCAUUUUUUAGGAAAAUAUUGUAGAUUUGGGAUUGUGAUUUAGAAAUUAGGAUAACAAGAGUUUUUGUUGAUAUAUGAGAAUGCUUUUAGAGUUUUUGAUCAAUAGGAUAUAAUUUUUAAAUAAUCUUUUCAAAACCUGCUAUUUUUAGAAAGUUGUCAUGUUGUUGAUAGAUAUUGUUGAUUUGGGAUUGUGAUUUAGAAAUUAGGACAACAAGAGUUUUUGUUGAUUGAUAGGUAUGCUUUUAAAAUUUUCGAUCUAUGUUUUAACAACAAUUUUUUAUCAAUAAGUUAUAAUGUUUAAAUAAAAUUUCCAAAACCUACUAUUUCAGGAAAGUUAUCAUUUUUCUAGAGUAAUAUUAUGCGAUAGUGAUUUAGAAGUUAUGAUAACAAGAGAUUUUAUUGAUAGAUGGGUAUGCUCUUAGAAUUAUUGAUUAAUAGGUUAUAUUUUUAAAAACUGCUAUAUUUGGUAAGUUAUCAAUUUGUAGGAAAAUAUUGUAGAUUUAGGAUUGUGAUUUAGAAAUUAGGAUAACAAGUGGUUUUGUUGAUAGAAGGGUAUGCUUUUAGAAUUUUUUUAUCAAUAAGAUUUAAUUUUUAAAUAAAUAUUCCAAAACCUGCAAUUUUUAGAAAGUUAUCAUUUUGUAGAAAAAUAUUGUAGAUUUGAGAUUGUGAUUUAUAAAUUAGGAUAACAAGAGUUUUUGUUGAUAAUAGGAUAACAAGAGUUUUUGUUGAUAGAUGGGUAUUCUUUUAGAGUUUUGAUCAAUAGGGUAUAGUUUUCAAAUAAAUUUUCCAAAACCUGCUAUUUUUAGAAAGUUAUCAUGUUGUUGAUAAAUAUUGUUGAUUUGAGAUUGUGAUUUAGAAAUUAGGACGAGAAGAGUUUUUGUUGAUAGAUAGGUACGCUUUUAAAAUUUUCGAUCUUUUUUUUUAACGAAAAUUUUUGAUCAAUAAGUUAUAAUGUUUAAAUAAAAUUUCCAAACGUACUAUUUUCGGAAAGUUUGAAAUUUUGUAGAUUUGGAAUAGUGAUUUAGAAAUUAGGAUAACAAGAGUUUUUGGUGAUAGAUGAGUAUGCUUUUAGAAUUUUGGAUCAAUAGGUUAUUUUUAAGAAACUGCUAAAUUUGGAAAGUUCUCAUUUUGUAGAAAAAUAAUGUAGAUUUGGGACUGUGAUUUAGAAAUUAGGAUAACAAGACUUUUUGUUGAUAGAAGGUAUGCUUUUAGAAUUUUUGAUCAAUAGGUUUUAAUUUUUAAAUAAAUUUUCCAAAACCUGCUAUUUUUAGAAAGUUAUCAUUUUGUAGGAAAAUAUUGUAAAUUUGGGAUUGUGGUUUGCAAAUUGGGAUAACAAGAGUUUUUGUUGAUAGAUGAGUAUUCUUUUAGAGUGUUGAUCAAUAGGGUAUAAUUUUUAAAUAAAUUUUCCAAAACCUGAUAUUUUUGGAAAGUUAUCAUUUUAUAGAUAAAUAUUGUAGAUUCGUGAUUAUGAUUUAGAAAUAAGGAUAACAAGUGUUUUGUUGAUAGAUGGGUAUGCUUUUAGAGUUUUUGAUCUAUAGGGUAUAAUUUUUAAAUAAAUUUUCCAAAACCUUGUAUUUUUAAAAAGUUGUCAUGUUGUUGAUGAAUAUUGUUGAUUUGGGAUUGUGAUUUAAAAAUUAAGACGAGUAUGCUCUUAGAAUUUUGAUCAAUGGGUUAUAAUUUUUAAAUAAAAUUUCCAAAACCUGCUAUAUUGGAAUGUGAUGAUUUUGUAGAGAAAUAUUGUAGAUUUUGGAUUGUGAUUUAAAAAUUAGGAUAACAAGAGUUUAUGUAGAUAGAUUAGUACGCUUUUAGAAUUUUGAUAAAUAGGCUAUAAUUUUUAAAUAAAUUUUCCAAAACUUACUAGUUUUGGAAAGUUAUCAUUUUGUAGAGAAAUAUUGUAGAUUUGAGAUUGUGAUUUAGAAACUGGGAUAACAAUAGUUUAUGUUGAUAGAUGGAUAUGCUUUUAGAAUUUUUGAUCAAUAGGCUAUAUUUUAAAAAUAAAUAUUGUAGAUUUGAGAUUAUGAUUUUGUAGAUAAAUAUUGUAGAUUUGAGAUUGUGAUUUAGAAAUUAGGAUAUUAUGAGUUUUUGUUGAUAGAUGAGUAUGCUUUUAGAAUUUUCGAUCAAUUGUGUAUAAUUUUUAAAUAAAUUUUCCAAAACCUUCUACUUUUAGAAAGUUUUCAUUUUGUUGGAAAAUAUUGUAGAUUUGGGAUUGUGAUUUAGAAAUUAUGAUAACAAGUGUUUUUGUUAAUCGAUAGGCAUGCUUUUAGAAUUUUUGAUCAAUUUGUUAUAUUUUAAAAUAAAUUUUUAAAAGUACUAUAUUUGGAAAGUUAUCAUAUAGAUCAAUACUGUAGAUUUUGGAUUGUGAUUUAGAAAUUAUGAUAACAAGAGUUUUUGUUGAUAGAUAGGUAUGCUUUUAGAAUUUUUGAUCAAUAUGUUAUAUCUUGCAGAUAUAUUAUCUAAAACCAACUAUUUUAGGAAAUAUAACAUUUUCGUAGAGAAAUAUUCUUGAUCUGGGAUUGUGAUUUAAAAAUUAAGAUAACAAGAGUUUUUGUUGAUAGAUGGGUAUCCUUUUAGAAUUUUUGAUCAAUAGGUUAUAAUUUUUAAAUAAAUUUUUCAAAACCUGCCAUUUUUGGAUAGUUACCAUUUUGUUGAUAAAUAUUGUAGAUUUGGGAUAGUGAUUUAGAAAUUAGGAUAACAAGAGUUUUUGUUGAUAGAUAGGUAUGCUUUUAGAAUUUUUGAUCAAUAGGUUAUAAUUUUUAAAUAAAUUUUUCAAAACCUGCCAUUUUUGGAUAGUUACCAUUUUGUUGAUAAAUAUUGUAGAUUUGGGAUAGUGAUUUAGAAAUUAGGAUAACAAGAGUUUUUGUUGAUAGAUAGGUAUGCUUUUAGAAUUUUUGAUCAAUAGGUUAUAAUUUUUAAAUAAAUUUUUCAAAACCUGCCAUUUUUGGAUAGUUACCAUUUUGUUGAUAAAUAUUGUAGAUUUGGGAUAGUGAUUUAGAAAUUAGGAUAACAAGAGUUUUUGUUGAUAGAUAGGUAUGCUUUUAGAAUUUUUGAUCAAUAGGUUAUAAUUUUUAAAUAAAUUUUUCAAAACCUGCCAUUUUUGGAUAGUUACCAUUUUGUUGAUAAAUAUUGUAGAUUUGGGAUAGUGAUUUAGAAAUUAGGAUAACAAGAGUUUUUGUUGAUAGAUAGGUAUGCUUUUAGAAUUUUUGAUCAAUAGGUUAUAAUUUUUAAAUAAAUUUUUCAAAACCUGCCAUUUUUGGAUAGUUACCAUUUUGUUGAUAAAUAUUGUAGAUUUGGGAUAGUGAUUUAGAAAUUAGGAUAACAAGAGUUUUUGUUGAUAGAUAGGUAUGCUUUUAGAAUUUUUGAUCAAUAGGUUAUAAUUUUUAAAUAAAUUUUUCAAAACCUGCCAUUUUUGGAUAGUUACCAUUUUGUUGAUAAAUAUUGUAGAUUUGGGAUAGUGAUUUAGAAAUUAGGAUAACAAGAGUUUUUGUUGAUAGAUAGGUAUGCUUUUAGAAUUUUUGAUCAAUAGGUUAUAAUUUUUAAAUAAAUUUUUCAAAACCUGCCAUUUUUGGAUAGUUACCAUUUUGUUGAUAAAUAUUGUAGAUUUGGGAUAGUGAUUUAGAAAUUAGGAUAACAAGAGUUUUUGUUGAUAGAUAGGUAUGCUUUUAGAAUUUUUGAUCAAUAGGUUAUAAUUUUUAAAUAAAUUUUUCAAAACCUGCCAUUUUUGGAUAGUUACCAUUUUGUUGAUAAAUAUUGUAGAUUUGGGAUAGUGAUUUAGAAAUUAGGAUAACAAGAGUUUUUGUUGAUAGAUAGGUAUGCUUUUAGAAUUUUUGAUCAAUAGGUUAUAAUUUUUAAAUAAAUUUUUCAAAACCUGCCAUUUUUGGAUAGUUACCAUUUUGUUGAUAAAUAUUGUAGAUUUGGGAUAGUGAUUUAGAAAUUAGGAUAACAAGAGUUUUUGUUGAUAGAUAGGUAUGCUUUUAGAAUUUUUGAUCAAUAGGUUAUAAUUUUUAAAUAAAUUUUUCAAAACCUGCCAUUUUUGGAUAGUUACCAUUUUGUUGAUAAAUAUUGUAGAUUUGGGAUAGUGAUUUAGAAAUUAGGAUAACAAGAGUUUUUGUUGAUAGAUAGGUAUGCUUUUAGAAUUUUUGAUCAAUAGGUUAUAAUUUUUAAAUAAAUUUUUCAAAACCUGCCAUUUUUGGAUAGUUACCAUUUUGUUGAUAAAUAUUGUAGAUUUGGGAUAGUGAUUUAGAAAUUAGGAUAACAAGAGUUUUUGUUGAUAGAUAGGUAUGCUUUUAGAAUUUUUGAUCAAUAGGUUAUAAUUUUUAAAUAAAUUUUUCAAAACCUGCCAUUUUUGGAUAGUUACCAUUUUGUUGAUAAAUAUUGUAGAUUUGGGAUAGUGAUUUAGAAAUUAGGAUAACAAGAGUUUUUGUUGAUAGAUAGGUAUGCUUUUAGAAUUUUUGAUCAAUAGGUUAUAAUUUUUAAAUAAAUUUUUCAAAACCUGCCAUUUUUGGAUAGUUACCAUUUUGUUGAUAAAUAUUGUAGAUUUGGGAUAGUGAUUUAGAAAUUAGGAUAACAAGAGUUUUUGUUGAUAGAUAGGUAUGCUUUUAGAAUUUUUGAUCAAUAGGUUAUAAUUUUUAAAUAAAUUUUUCAAAACCUGCCAUUUUUGGAUAGUUACCAUUUUGUUGAUAAAUAUUGUAGAUUUGGGAUAGUGAUUUAGAAAUUAGGAUAACAAGAGUUUUUGUUGAUAGAUAGGUAUGCUUUUAGAAUUUUUGAUCAAUAGGUUAUAAUUUUUAAAUAAAUUUUUCAAAACCUGCCAUUUUUGGAUAGUUACCAUUUUGUUGAUAAAUAUUGUAGAUUUGGGAUAGUGAUUUAGAAAUUAGGAUAACAAGAGUUUUUGUUGAUAGAUAGGUAUGCUUUUAGAAUUUUUGAUCAAUAGGUUAUAAUUUUUAAAUAAAUUUUUCAAAACCUGCCAUUUUUGGAUAGUUACCAUUUUGUUGAUAAAUAUUGUAGAUUUGGGAUAGUGAUUUAGAAAUUAGGAUAACAAGAGUUUUUGUUGAUAGAUAGGUAUGCUUUUAGAAUUUUUGAUCAAUAGGUUAUAAUUUUUAAAUAAAUUUUUCAAAACCUGCCAUUUUUGGAUAGUUACCAUUUUGUUGAUAAAUAUUGUAGAUUUGGGAUAGUGAUUUAGAAAUUAGGAUAACAAGAGUUUUUGUUGAUAGAUAGGUAUGCUUUUAGAAUUUUUGAUCAAUAGGUUAUAAUUUUUAAAUAAAUUUUUCAAAACCUGCCAUUUUUGGAUAGUUACCAUUUUGUUGAUAAAUAUUGUAGAUUUGGGAUAGUGAUUUAGAAAUUAGGAUAACAAGAGUUUUUGUUGAUAGAUAGGUAUGCUUUUAGAAUUUUUGAUCAAUAGGUUAUAAUUUUUAAAUAAAUUUUUCAAAACCUGCCAUUUUUGGAUAGUUACCAUUUUGUUGAUAAAUAUUGUAGAUUUGGGAUAGUGAUUUAGAAAUUAGGAUAACAAGAGUUUUUGUUGAUAGAUAGGUAUGCUUUUAGAAUUUUUGAUCAAUAGGUUAUAAUUUUUAAAUAAAUUUUUCAAAACCUGCCAUUUUUGGAUAGUUACCAUUUUGUUGAUAAAUAUUGUAGAUUUGGGAUAGUGAUUUAGAAAUUAGGAUAACAAGAGUUUUUGUUGAUAGAUAGGUAUGCUUUUAGAAUUUUUGAUCAAUAGGUUAUAAUUUUUAAAUAAAUUUUUCAAAACCUGCCAUUUUUGGAUAGUUACCAUUUUGUUGAUAAAUAUUGUAGAUUUGGGAUAGUGAUUUAGAAAUUAGGAUAACAAGAGUUUUUGUUGAUAGAUAGGUAUGCUUUUAGAAUUUUUGAUCAAUAUGUUAUAUCUUGCAGAUAUAUUAUCUAAAACCAACUAUUUUAGGAAAUAUAACAUUUUCGUAGAGAAAUAUUCUUGAUCUGGGAUUGUGAUUUAAAAAUUAAGAUAACAAGAGUUUUUGUUGAUAGAUGGGUAUCCUUUUAGAAUUUUUGAUCAAUAGGUUAUAAUUUUUAAAUAAAUUUUUCAAAACCUGCCAUUUUUGGAUAGUUACCAUUUUGUUGAUAAAUAUUGUAGAUUUGGGAUAGUGAUUUAGAAAUUAGGAUAACAAGAGCUUUUGUUGAUAAAUGGGUAUGCUUUUAGAAUUUUUGAUCAAUAGGUUAUAUUUUUAAAGUAAAAUUUUAGAAACUGCUAUAUUUGGAAAGUUAUCAUUUUGUAGAGAAAUAUUGUAGAUUUUGGAUUGAGAUUUAGAAAUUAGGAUAACAAGAGUUUUUGUUGAUAGAUGGGCAUGCUUUUAGAAUUUUUCAUCAAUAGGUUAUAUUUUUAAAAUAAACUUUUAAAAUUGUGAUUUAAAAAUUAGUAUAACAAGAGUUUUUGUUGAUAGAUGGGCAUGCUUUUAGAAUUUUUCAUCAAUAGGUUAUAUUUUUAAAAUAAACUUUUAAAAUUGUGAUUUAAAAAUUAGUAUAACAAGAGUUUUUGUUGAUAGAUGGGUAUGCUUUUAGAAUUUUUGAUCAAUUGGUUAUAAUUUUUAAUUAAAUUUUCCAAAACCUGCUAUUUCUGGAAAGUUACCAUUUUGUUGAUAAAUAUUGUAGAUUUAGGAUUGAGAUUCAAAAAUUAGGAUAACAAGAGAUUUGGUUGAUAUAUGGGCAUGCUUUUAGAAGUUUUGAUCAAUAGGUUAUAUUUUUAAAAUAAACUUUUAAAAAUUGAUAUAUUUGGAAAGUUAUCAUUUUGUAGAUAAAUAUGUAGAUUUGGAAUUGUGAUUUAGAAAUUCGGAUAACAAUAGAUUUUGUAGAUAAAUGGGUAUGCUUUUAGAAUUUUUGAUCAAUAUUGCGAUUUUGUAGGAAAAUAUUGUAGAUUUGGGAUUGUGAUUUAGAAAUUAGAAUAACAAGAGAUUUUAUUGCUAGAUGGGCAUGCUUUUAGAAUUUUUGAUCAAUAGGCUAUAUUUGUAAAAUAAACUUUUAAAAACUGCUAUAUUUGGAAAGUUAUCAUUUUGUAGAUAAAUAUUGUAAAUUUGAGAUUGUGAUUUUGAAAUUAGGAUAACAAGAGUUUUUGUUGAUAGGUGGGUAUGCUUUUAGAAUUUUUGAUCAAUUGGUUAUAAUUUUUAAAUAUAUUUUUCAAAACCUGCUAUUUUUAGAAAGUUUUCAUUUUUUAGGAAAAUAUUGCUGAUUUGGGAUUGUGAUUCAGAAAUUAGGAUAACAAGAUUUUUUGUUGAUAAAUGGGUAUGCUUUUAGAAUUUUUGUUAUGUAGAAAGUUUUUGUAGAAAGUUUUUCAUUAUGUAGGAAAAUAUUGUUUUAGAAAUUAGGAUAACAAGAGCUUUUGUUGAUAAAUGGGUAUGCUUUUAGAAUUUUUGUUAUGUAGAAAGUUUUUGUAGAAAGUUUUUCAUUAUGUAGGAAAAUAUUGUUUUAGAAAUUAGGAUAACAAGAGCUUUUGUUGAUAAAUGGGUAUGCUUUUAGAAUUUUUGUUAUGUAGAAAGUUUUUGUAGAAAGUUUUUCAUUAUGUAGGAAAAUAUUGUUUUAGAAAUUAGGAUAACAAGAGCUUUUGUUGAUAAAUGGGUAUGCUUUUAGAAUUUUUGUUAUGUAGAAAGUUUUUGUAGAAAGUUUUUCAUUAUGUAGGAAAAUAUUGUUUUAGAAAUUAGGAUAACAAGAGCUUUUGUUGAUAAAUGGGUAUGCUUUUAGAAUUUUUGUUAUGUAGAAAGUUUUUGUAGAAAGUUUUUCAUUAUGUAGGAAAAUAUUGUUUUAGAAAUUAGGAUAACAAGAGCUUUUGUUGAUAAAUGGGUAUGCUUUUAGAAUUUUUGUUAUGUAGAAAGUUUUUGUAGAAAGUUUUUCAUUAUGUAGGAAAAUAUUGUUUUAGAAAUUAGGAUAACAAGAGUUUUUGUUGAUAGAUGGACAUGCUUUUAGAAUUUUUUAUCAAUAGGUUAUAUUUUUAGAAUAAACUUUUAAAAACCGCUAUAUUUGGAAAGUUAUCAUUUUGUAGAUAAAUAUUGUAGAUUUGGGAUUGUGAUUUAGAAAUUAGGAUAACAAGAGUUUUUGUAGAUAAAUGAGUAUUCUUUUAGAAUUUUUGAUCAAUAGGUUAUAAUUUUUAAAUAAAUGUUCCAAAACCUGGUAUUUUUACAAAGUUAUCAUUUUGUUGAUAAAUAUUGUAGAUUUGAGAUUGUGAUUUUGAAAUUAAGAUAUGAAGAGUUUUUGUUGAUAGAUGGGUAUGGUUAUAGAAUUUUCGAUCAAUUGGUUAUAAUUUUUAAAUAAAGUUUCCAAAACCUGCUAUUUUUAGAAAAUUUUCGUUUUGUAGGAAAAUAUUGUAGAUUUUGGAUUGAGAUUUAGAAAUUAGGAUAACAAGAGUUUUUGUUAAUAGAUGAGCAUGCUUUUAGAAUUUUUGAUCGAUAGGUUAUAUUUUUAAAAUAAACUUUUUAAAACGUACUAUUUUCGGAAAGUUUGAUAUUUUGUAGAUUUGGAAUAGUGAUUUAGAAAUUAGGAUAACAAGAGUUUUUGGUGAUAGAUGGGUAUGCUUUUAGAAUUUUUGAUCAAUAGGUUUUAAUUUUUAAAUAAAUUUUCCAAAACCUGCUAUUUUUAGAAAGUUUUCAUUUUGUAGGAAAAUAUUGUAAAUUUGGGAUUGUGGUUUACAAAUUAGGAUAACAAGAGUUUUGUUAAUAGAUGGGUAUUCUUUUAGAGUGUUGAUCAAUAGGGUAUAAUUUUUAAAUAAAUUUUUCAAAACCUGAUAUUUUUGGAAAGUUAUCAUUUUAUAGAUAAAUAUUGUAGAUUUGGGAUUGUUAUUUAGAAAUUAGGAUAACAAGAGUUUUUGUUGAAAGAUGGGUAUGCUUUUAGAAUUUUUGAUCAAUUGAUUAUAAUUUUUAAAUAAAUUUUCCAAAACCUGUUAUUUUUGGAAAGUUACCAUUUUGUUUAUAAAUAUUGUAGAUUUGGGAUAGUGAUUUAGAAAUUAGGAUAACAAGAGCUUUUGUUGAUAAAUUAGUAUGCUUUUAGAAUUUUUGAUCAAUUGGUUAUAAUUUUUAAAUAAAUUUUCCAAAACCUGCUAUUUUUAGAAAGUUUUCAUUUUGUAGAAAAAUAAUGUAGAUUUGGGAUUGAGAUUUAGAAAUUAGGAUAAUAAGAGUUUUUGUUGAUAUAUGGGCAUGCUUUUAGAAGUUUUGAUCAAUAGGUUAUAUUUUUAAAAUAAACUUUUAAAAACUGAUAUAUUUGGAAAGUUAUCAUUUUGUAGAUAAAUAUUGUAGAUUUGAGAUUGUGAUUUAGAAAUUAGGAUAACAAGAGUUUUUAUAGAUAAAUGGGUAUGCUUUUACAAUUUUUGAUCAAUAUUGUGAUUUAGAAAUUAAGAUAUGAAGAGUUUUUGAUGAUAGAUGGGUAUGCUUUUAGAAUUUUUGAUCAAUUGGUUAUAAUUUUUAAAUAAAUUUUCAAAAACCUGCUAUUUUUUUAGAAAUUUUUCAUUUUGUAGGAAAAUAUUGUAGAUUUGGGAUUGAGAUUUAGAAAUUAGGAUAACAAGAUUUUUUGUUGAUAAAUGGGUAUACUUUUAGAAAUUUUGAUCAAUAGNNNNNNNNNNNNNNNNNNNNNNNNNNNNNNNNNNNNNNNNNNNNNNNNNNNNNNNNNNNNNNNNNNNNNNNNNNNNNNNNNNNNNNNNNNNNNNNNNNNNAGUUUUUGUUGAUAUAUGGGUAUGCUUUUAGAAUUUUUGAUCAAUUGGUUAUAAUUUUUAAAUAAAUUUUCCAAAACUUGCUAUUUUUAGAAAGUUUUCAUUUUGUAGGAAAAUAUUGUAGAUUUGGGAUUGAGAUUUAGAAAUUAGGAUAAUAAGAGUUUUUGUUGAUAUAUGGGCAUGCUUUUAGAAGUUUUGAUCAAUAGGUUAUAUUUUUAAAAUAAACUUUUAAAAACUGAAAUAUUUGGAAAGUUAUCAUUUUGUAGAUAAAUAUUGUAGAUUUGAGAUUGUGAUUUAAAAAUUAGGAUAACAAGAGUUUUAGUAGAUAAAUGGGUAUGCUUUUACAAUUUUUGAUCAAUAUUGUGAUUUAGAAAUUAAGAUAUGAAGAGUUUUUGUUGAUAGACGGGUAUGAUUUUAAAAUUUUCUAUCAAUUGGUUAUAAUUUUUAAAUAAGUUUUCCAAAACCUGCUAUUUUUAGAAAAUUUUCAUUUAAUAGGAAAAUAUUGUCGAUUUGGGAUUGAGAUUUAGAAAUUAGGAUAACAAGAGUUUUCGUUGAUAGAUGGGCAUGCUUUUAGAAGUUUUGAUCAAUAGGUUAUAUUUUUAAAAUAAAAUUUUAAAAACUGCUAUAUUUGGAAAGUUAUCAUUUUUUAGAUAAAUAUUGUAGAUUUAAGAUUGUGAUUUAGAAAUUAGUAUAACAAGAGUUUUUGUAGAUAAAUAGGUAUGAUUUUAGAAAUUUUUAUCAAUAUAUUAUAUAUUGUAGAUAUAUUAUCUAAAACCAUAGAUUGAGAUUCUAAUUUAAAACACCUUUUCAUAUGUUUCUUUUAGUUUUUGAUCAAGGUGCCUUUUCAGAUGCUUUUAAUUUUGGAAAAAUUUGGAAAAAUACCUUCAUAUGAGUUUAUAUUUUGAAAAUUACACUGCUUAUUAUUGUUUUUGAAAACUACACUUAUUUAUAGAUAAAAUGACCAAAAUACCCUAUUUAAAUGUUUAUAUGUGUUCUAAUAUUUAAUUUUAAAAUGUUUAACAAGUAAAUCCAACGACAAUCAGGUUUUAUAUUUUUCUUUUCUUAAUAAUAAUCUUAAUAUCUAUAUAAAAUCUUAUUUAAAAUUUUAUUCAUGCGACAAUAUAUUAUUAUCUUGUUGGAAAUCUCUGUCGUCACCGUCAUAAUGGAGAAAACUUAUUAACCCCCACGCGAGAAUGUAACCAAUUUUUGAACUUUAAGAAAAAAAAUUAAGUAUCCAUAAUCUGAAACACAAGCUCGACUAGAUCCACUGUUGCUUCUAAACAAAUUUUCCAAAACCUGCUAUUUUUAGAAAGUUUUCAUUUUUUAGGAAAAUAUUGUAGAUUUGGGAUUGUGAUUUAGAAAUUAGGAUAACAAGAUUUUUUGUUGAUAAAUGGGUAUACUUUUAGGAAUUUUGAUCAAUAGGUUAUAUUUUAAAAAUAAACUUUUAAAAACUUCUAUAUUUGGAAAGUUAUCAUUUUGUAGAUAAAUAUUGUAGAUUUGAGAUUGUGAUUUAGAAAUUAGGAUAACAAGAGUUUUUGUUGAUAGACGAGUAUGCUUUUAGAAUUUUUGAUCAAUUGGUUAUUAUUUAUAAACAAAUUUUCCAAAACCUGCUAUUUUUAGAAAAUUUUCAUUUUUUAGGAAAAUAUUGGAGAUUUGGGAUUGUGAUUUAGAAAUUAGGAUAACAAGAUUUUUUGUUGAUAAAUGGGUAUACUUUUAGAAAUUUUGAUCAAUAGGUUAUAUUUUAAAAAUAAACUUUAAAAAACUGCUAUAUUUGGAAAGUUAACAUUUUGUAGAUAAAAAUUGUAGAUUUGAGAUUGUGAUUAAGAAUUUAGGAUAACAAGAGUUUUUGUUGAUAGAUUGGUAUGCUUUUAAAAUUUUCGAUCAAUAUGUUAUAUCUUGAAGAUAUAUUAUCUAAAACCAAUUAUGUUAGGAAAGUUAUCAUUUUUGUAAAAAAAUAUUGUAAAUCUGAGAUUGUGAUUUAAAAAUUAGGAUAACAAGAUUUUUUGUUGAUAGAUGAGUAUGCUUUUAGAAUUUUCGAUCAAUUGGUUAUAAUUUCUAAAUAAAUUUUUCAAAACCUGAUAUUUUUAUAAAGUUUUCAUUUUGUAGGAAAAUAUUGUAGAUUUGGGAUUGAGAUUUAGAAAUUAGGAUAACAAGAUUUUUUGUUGAUAGAUGAGUAUGCUUUUAGAAUUUUCGAUCAAUUGGUUAUAAUUUCUAAAUAAAUUUUUCAAAACCUGAUAUUUUUAUAAAGUUUUCAUUUUGUAGGAAAAUAUUGUAGAUUUGGGAUUGAGAUUUAGAAAUUAGGAUAACAAGAUUUUUUGUUGAUAGAUGAGUAUGCUUUUAGAAUUUUCGAUCAAUUGGUUAUAAUUUCUUAAUAAAUUUUCCAAAACCUGUUAUUUUUAGAAAAUUUUCAUUUUGUAGAAAAAUAUUGUAGAUUUGGGAUUGAGAUUUGGAUAUUAGGAUAACAAGAGUUUUUGUCGCUAUAUUGGCAUGCUUUUAGAAUUUUUGAGCAAUAGGUUAUAUUUUUAAAAUAAACAUUUAAAAACUGAAAAAUAAACUUUUUAAAACUGCUAUAUUUGGAAAGUUAUCAUUUUGUAGAUAAAUAUUGUAGAUUUGAGAUUGUGAUUUAGAAAUUAGGGUAACAAGAGUUUUUGUUGAUAGAUGGGUAUGCUUUUAGAAUUUUUGAUCAAUUGGUUAUAAUUUAUAAAUAAAUUUUCCAAAACCUGCUAUUUUUAGAAAGUUUUCAUUUUUUAGGAAAAUAUUGUAGAUUUGGGAUUGUGAUUUAGAAAUUAGGAUAACAAGAUUUUUUGUUGAUAAAUGGGUAUACUUUUAGGAAUUUUGAUCAAUAGGUUAUAUUUUAAAAAUAAACUUUUAAAAACUUCUAUAUUUGGAAAGUUAUCAUUUUGUAGAUAAAUAUUGUAGAUUUGAGAUUGUGAUUUAGAAAUUAGGAUAACAAAAGUUUUUGUUGAUUGAUGGGUAUGCUUUUAGAAGUUUUGAUCAAUAGGUUAUAUUUUUAAAAUAAACUUUUAUAAACUGAUAUAUUUGGAAAGUUAUCAUUUUGUAGAUAAAUAUUGUAGAUUUGAGAUUGUGAUUUAGAAAUUAGGAUAACAAAAGUUUUUGUUGAUUGAUGGGUAUGCUUUUAGAAGUUUUGAUCAAUAGGUUAUAUUUUUAAAAUAAACUUUUAUAAACUGAUAUAUUUGGAAAGUUAUCAUUUUGUAGAUAAAUAUUGUAGAUUUGAGAUUGUGAUUUAGAAAUUAGGAUAACAAAAGUUUUUGUUGAUUGAUGGGUAUGCUUUUAGAAGUUUUGAUCAAUAGGUUAUAUUUUUAAAAUAAACUUUUAUAAACUGAUAUAUUUGGAAAGUUAUCAUUUUGUAGAUAAAUAUUGUAGAUUUGAGAUUGUGAUUUAGAAAUUAGGAUAACAAAAGUUUUUGUUGAUUGAUGGGUAUGCUUUUAGAAGUUUUGAUCAAUAGGUUAUAUUUUUAAAAUAAACUUUUAUAAACUGAUAUAUUUGGAAAGUUAUCAUUUUGUAGAUAAAUAUUGUAGAUUUGAGAUUGUGAUUUAGAAAUUAGGAUAACAAAAGUUUUUGUUGAUUGAUGGGUAUGCUUUUAGAAGUUUUGAUCAAUAGGUUAUAUUUUUAAAAUAAACUUUUAUAAACUGAUAUAUUUGGAAAGUUAUCAUUUUGUAGAUAAAUAUUGUAGAUUUGAGAUUGUGAUUUAGAAAUUAGGAUAACAAAAGUUUUUGUUGAUUGAUGGGUAUGCUUUUAGAAGUUUUGAUCAAUAGGUUAUAUUUUUAAAAUAAACUUUUAUAAACUGAUAUAUUUGGAAAGUUAUCAUUUUGUAGAUAAAUAUUGUAGAUUUGAGAUUGUGAUUUAGAAAUUAGGAUAACAAAAGUUUUUGUUGAUUGAUGGGUAUGCUUUUAGAAGUUUUGAUCAAUAGGUUAUAUUUUUAAAAUAAACUUUUAUAAACUGAUAUAUUUGGAAAGUUAUCAUUUUGUAGAUAAAUAUUGUAGAUUUGAGAUUGUGAUUUAGAAAUUAGGAUAACAAAAGUUUUUGUUGAUUGAUGGGUAUGCUUUUAGAAGUUUUGAUCAAUAGGUUAUAUUUUUAAAAUAAACUUUUAUAAACUGAUAUAUUUGGAAAGUUAUCAUUUUGUAGAUAAAUAUUGUAGAUUUGAGAUUGUGAUUUAGAAAUUAGGAUAACAAGAGUUUUAGUAAAUAAAUGGAUAUGCUUUUUGAAUUUUUGAUCAAUAUUGUGAUUUAGAAAUUAAGAUAUGAAGAGUUUUUGUUGAUAGACGGGUAUACUUUUAGAAUUUUCUAUCAAUUGGUUAUAAUUUUAAAUAAAUGGGUAUGCUUUUCAAUUUUGGAUCAAUAUUGUGAUUUAGAAAUUAAGAUAUGAAGAGUUUUUAUUGAUAGAUGAGUAUGCUUUUAGAAUUUUUGAUCAAUUGGUUUUAACUUUUAAAUAAAUUUUCCAAAACCUGCUAUUUUUUAGAAAUUUUUCAUAUAUUGUAGAUUUGGGAUUGAGAUUUUGAAAUUAGGAUAACAAGAGUUUUUGUUGAUAUAUGAGCAUGCUUUUAGAAGUUUUGAUCAAUAGGUUAUAUUUUUAAAAUAAACUUUUAAAACUGCUAUAUUUUGAAAGUUAUCUUUUUGUAGAUAAAUAUUGUAGAUUUGAGAUUGUGAUUUAGAAAUUAGGAUAACAAGAGUUUUUGUAGAUAGAUGGACAUGCUUUUAGAAUUUUUGAUCAAUAGGUUAGAAUUUUUAAAUAAAUUUUCCAAAACCUGGUAUUUUUAAAAAGUUAUAAUUUUGUUGAUAAAUAUUGUAGAUUUGAGAUUCAAAAAUUAACAUAUGAAGAGUUUUUAGAAAGUUAUCAUUUUUGUUGAUAAAUGGGUAUGCUUUUAGAAUUUUUGAUCAAUUGGUCAUAAUUUUUAAAUAAAUUUUCCAAAACCUGCUAUUUUUAGAAAGUUUUCAUUUUUUAGGAAAAUAUUGUAGAUUUGGGAUUAUGAUUUAGAAAUUAGGAUAACAAGAUUUUUUGCUGAUAAGUGGGCAUGGUUUAGAAUUUUUGAUCAAUAGGUUAUAUUUUUAAAAUAAAAUUUUAAAACCUGCUAUUUUUGGAAAGUUAUCAAUUUGUUGAUAAAUAUUGUAGAUUUGGGAUAAUGAUUUAGAAAUGAUAACAAUAGUUUAUGUUGAUAGAAGGGUAUGCUUUUAGAAUUUUUGAUCAAUAGGCUAUAUUUUUAAAAUAAAAUUUUUAAAACUGCUAUAUUUGGAAAGUUAUCAUUUUGUAGAUAAAUAUUGCAGAUAUUAGAUUGUGGUUAAGAAAUUAGGAUAAUAAGAGUUUUUGUUGAUAGAUGGGUAUGC
rnacentral:lncRNA from 1 species